ensembl:misc_RNA 7SK 7SK RNA
AGACAUGAAGACAUCUGUCUACGACAUCUGUCACCCCGCUGACCUCCAGGAUUGAUUCGGCUGAUCUGACUGGCAAGGCAGGUGUCCCCUUCCUCCCUCACCACUCCGUGUGUUUUCCCCAUGAAGCUGCAUGCUCAGUCCAGGAGGACGACCACCCCCGCUAGAGGAGGAUCGGUCUUCGGUCAGGGGUGCAGGAACAGCUGCACUCUCCUGCUAGAACCCCCGAGCAAGCUCUCAAGAGUGAAGCUCGCGGCUCUGUACAGGGUGUGCUCAUCAACUCACAGUAGUCAUCACUUUCAUUUCUUUGAAGACGUCAAGCUUCUUU